UCGAACGAGAACGGUCCUAGCUUGCUAGGAUGUCAGCUAAGUGGCGGACGGGUGAGUAAUGUAUAGUUAAUCUGCCCUUUAGAGAGGAAUAACUACUGGAAACGGUAGCUAAUACCUCAUACUCCUUCUUUUUUAAUAAGAGUUGGGAAAUGUUUUUUCGCUAAAGGAUGAGACUAUAUGGUAUCAGGUAGUUGGUGGGGUAAGAGCCCACCAAGCCAAUGACGCCUAGCUGGUCUGAGAGGAUGAUCAGCCACACUGGAACUGAGACACGGUCCAGACUCCUACGGGAGGCAGCAGUGGGGAAUAUUGCACAAUGGAGGGAACUCUGAUGCAGCAACGCCGCGUGGAGGAUGACACAUUUCGGUGCGUAAACUCCUUUUAUAUGGGAAGAUAAUGACGGUACCAUAUGAAUAAGCACCGGCUAACUCCGUGCCAGCAGCCGCGGUAUACGGAGGGUGCAAGCGUUACUCGGAAUCACUGGGCGUAAAGCGCGCGCAGGCGGUUUAUUAAUUGAUGUGAANCUCGCU
rnacentral:rRNA from 1 species